rnacentral:rRNA from 1 species
AUGAACGCUAGCUACAGGCUUAACACAUGCAAGUCGAGGGGCAGCAUGGUCUUAGCUUGCUAAGGCCGAUGGCGACCGGCGCACGGGUGAGUAACACGUAUCCAACCUGCCGUCUACUCUUGGACAGCCUUCUGAAAGGAAGAUUAAUACAAGAUGGCAUCAUGAGUCCGCAUGUUCACAUGAUUAAAGGUAUUCCGGUAGACGAUGGGGAUGCGUUCCAUUAGAUAGUAGGCGGGGUAACGGCCCACCUAGUCUUCGAUGGGUAGGGGUUCUGAGAGGAAGGUCCCCCACAUUGGAACUGAGACACGGUCCAAACUCCUACGGGAGGCAGCAGUAAGGAAUAUUGGUCAAUGGGCGAGAGCCUGAACCAGCCAAGUAGCGUGAAGGAUGACUGCCCUAUGGGUUGUAAACUUCUUUUAUAAAGGAAUAAAGUCGGGUAUGGAUACCCGUUUGCAUGUACUUUAUGAAUAAGGAUCGGCUAACUCCGUGCCAGCAGCCGCGGUAAUACGGAGGAUCCGAGCGUUAUCCGGAUUUAUUGGGUUUAAAGGGAGCGUAGAUGGAUGUUUAAGUCAGUUGUGAAAGUUUGCGGCUCAACCGUAAAAUUGCAGUUGAUACUGGAUAUCUUGAGUGCAGUUGAGGCAGGCGGAAUUCGUGGUGUAGCGGUGAAAUGCUUAGAUAUCACGAAGAACUCCGAUUGCGAAGGCAGCCUGCUAAGCUGCAACUGACAUUGAGGCUCGAAAGUGUGGGUAUCAAACAGGAUUAGAUACCCUGGUAGUCCACACGGUAAACGAUGAAUACUCGCUGUUUGCGAUAUACUGCAAGCGGCCAAGCGAAAGCGUUAAGUAUUCCACCUGGGGAGUACGCCGGCAACGGUGAAACUCAAAGGAAUUGACGGGGGCCCGCACAAGCGGAGGAACAUGUGGUUUAAUUCGAUGAUACGCGAGGAACCUUACCCGGGCUUAAAUUGCAGAUGAAUUACGGUGAAAGCCGUAAGCCGCAAGGCAUCUGUGAAGGUGCUGCAUGGUUGUCGUCAGCUCGUGCCGUGAGGUGUCGGCUUAAGUGCCAUAACGAGCGCAACCCUUGUUGUCAGUUACUAACAGGUUCCGCUGAGGACUCUGACAAGACUGCCAUCGUAAGAUGUGAGGAAGGUGGGGAUGACGUCAAAUCAGCACGGCCCUUACGUCCGGGGCUACACACGUGUUACAAUGGGGGGUACAGAGGGCCGCUACCACGCGAGUGGAUGCCAAUCCCCAAAACCUCUCUCAGUUCGGACUGGAGUCUGCAACCCGACUCCACGAAGCUGGAUUCGCUAGUAAUCGCGCAUCAGCCACGGCGCGGUGAAUACGUUCCCGGGCCUUGUACACACCGCCCGUCAAGCCAUGGGAGCCGGGGGUACCUGAAGUGCGUAACCGCGAGGAGCGCCCUAGGGUAAAACUGGUGACUGGGGCU